rnacentral:rRNA from 1 species
CAGCAGCCACGGUAAUACGUAGGGUGCAAGCGUUAAUCGGAAUUACUGGGCGUAAAGCGUGCGCAGGCGGUUUGUUAAGACAGAUGUGAAAUCCCCGGGCUUAACCUGGGAACUGCAUUUGUGACUGGCGAGCUAGAGUGUGGCAGAGGGGGGUAGAAUUCCACGUGUAGCAGUGAAAUGCGUAGAGAUGUGGAGGAAUACCGAUGGCGAAGGCAGCCCCCUGGGCCAAUACUGACGCUCGUGCACGAAAGCGUGGGGAGCAAACAGGAUUAGAUACCCCGGUAGUCCCUGUCUCUUAUAC